rnacentral:rRNA from 1 species
GACGAACGCUGGCGGCGUGCCUAAUACAUGCAAGUCGAACGCUUCUUUCCUCCCGAGUGCUUGCACUCAAUUGGGAAGAGGAGUGGCGGACGGGUGGGUAACACUUGCGUAACCUACCCAUCAGAGGGGGAUAACACUUGGAAACAGGUGCUAAUACCGCAUAACAGUUUAUGCAGCAUGGCAUAAGAGUGAUAGGCCCCUUCGGAUGUCGCUCAUGGAUGGACCCGCUGUGCAUUAGCUAGUUGGCGAGGUAACGGCUCACCAAGGCCACGAUGCAUAGCCGACCUGAGAGGGUGAUCGGCCACACUGGAACUGAGACACGGCCCAGACUCCUACGGGAGGCAGCAGUAGGGAAUCUUCGGCAAUGGACGAAAGUCUGACCGAGCAACGCCGCGUGAGUGAAGAAGGUUUUCGGAUCGUAAAACUCUGUUGUUAGAGAAGAACAAGGACGUUAGUAACUGAACGUCCCCUGACGGUAUCUAAUCAGAAAGCCACGGCUAACUACGUG